rnacentral:rRNA from 1 species
AUUGAACGCUGGCGGCAUGCUUUACACAUGCAAGUCGGACGGCAGCACAGAGAAGCUUGCUUCUUGGGUGGCGAGUGGCGAACGGGUGAGUAACAUAUCGGAACGUACCGAGUAGUGGGGGAUAACUGGUCGAAAGAUCAGCUAAUACCGCAUACGUCUUGAGAGGGAAAGCAGGGGACCUUCGGGCCUUGCGCUAUUCGAGCGGCCGAUAUCUGAUUAGCUAGUUGGUGGGGUAAAGGCCUACCAAGGCGACGAUCAGUAGCGGGUCUGAGAGGAUGAUCCGCCACACUGGGACUGAGACACGGCCCAGACUCCUACGGGAGGCAGCAGUGGGGAAUUUUGGACAAUGGGCGCAAGCCUGAUCCAGCCAUGCCGCGUGUCUGAAGAAGGCCUUUCGGGUUGUAAAGGACUUUUGUCCAGGGAAGAAAAGGCUGUUGCUAAUAUCAGCGGCUGAUGACGGUACCUGAAGAAUAAGCACCGCUAAUAC